ACCUCUCCACUCUGCACAAGCAUGCUGAGCUAUCAACCUAUCCAAUCACAAGACAAGAAAAAAAAGAAUUGAGUUUCAGGUAGCUGAAGAAUCUGUCCUCACAAUUUUUUGUUCUGCCGCGUAAAUCUUCGCGUGUUCGAGAAAAAAAAAAGCAAUGUGAAGCAGGAAAAAUGUUUUUAGGUAAUGGAUGUGACUGUGCCAUAAUUUUGGUGACUUUAUGGUGAUUAAAAUUCUCUCUUUUUUUUCGUUUCUUAGAAUUGACUGCUAAUUGGUGAAUGAUACCUAGAAUGAUUAGACAAGAACAUGAGACAGACAAUGGUGUCAUGAAACAACAGCUACUUACAGAAACGGUUGAACUACCCUGUGGGGGACCAUGUCUUUUGUUGUUUCAAUUACUGAGUUUCUAAUAAUACUCCGUGAUUAACUAAAACUGUAAUUAUUCCCAAAAUUUAGUCUGAGCAUCCUGCUAAUUUUGGAGUAUGCAUGGCUAACUGAAUAGAUUUUCCCAUGAAUAAAAAAAAAUGCUUUGAUACAAGCAUAUAAACCCAGUAAUUUGUUCACAUAAUUUACAACUUCAUGUAUGAUAUGGAAUUUUCCUAUCCACAAACAAUUCAGAUUCUCUGAACUGACCAACCAAAACAACUUCUUGCUUAUUGGUGAGCACAAGGCAUUGUGAAUCUUCUCACACAAAACCAAUCAGCAAGCAGAAAUCUUUCGGUCCAACAACAAGCCAGAAACCCUCUAAAUUUUGACCAUCAAAACCAAUCCAAGGAUUGCACAUCCAUCCUUGAAUGAAACACACAACAAUUUGAAGGAGAAAAAGCACAUAUUCAAUUACAGAGAAAGAAAGGAAGCAAGGUUACUCACCAAAGGAGCUUGGUUCCUUCUGUCCAUGGCCUGUCCCUGAAGCAAAGUAUCAAGAAACCACAGCAACAACUACUCACCACCAAUUACCCCAAGAUAUUUAUCACAUCAUCAUCACCAUGCUUCUACAGCCCCAAUACCCUUUUGCACAUGAUUCAUGCAGAGGAAGAGGGCAAGAAAAACUUCAAAAUCUCUCAACCAGAAGCUCCUUUAUGACAGUGCCAUGCUGGUUGAUCACCAGGAGGAGGAAGAAGAAAAGGAAGAAGGAGCCAAGGAGAAGACAGCAGAUGAGAAGGAAG
rnacentral:lncRNA from 1 species